rnacentral:rRNA from 1 species
UGGGGAAUAUUGCACAAUGGGCGCAAGCCUGAUGCAGCCAUGCCGCGUGUGUGAAGAAGGCCUUCGGGUUGUAAAGCACUUUCAGCGAGGAGGAAGGCAUUCUACUUAAUAAGUAGGGUGAUUGACGUUACUCGCAGAAGAAGCACCGGCUAACUCCGUGCCAGCAGCCGCGGUAAUACGGAGGGUGCAAGCGUUAAUCGGAAUUACUGGGCGUAAAGCGCACGCAGGCGGUUUGUUAAGUCAGAUGUGAAAUCCCCGCGCUUAACGUGGGAACUGCAUUUGAAACUGGCAAGCUAGAGUCUUGUAGAGGGGGGUAGAAUUCCAGGUGUAGCGGUGAAAUGCGUAGAGAUCUGGAGGAAUACCGGUGGCGAAGGCGGCCCCCUGGACAAAGACUGACGCUCAGGUGCGAAAGCGUGGGGAGCAAACAGG